UGCCUGGGAGGUGGAAACUUCCAGGAUGCCUUUGGCCACAUCCCCAGUCCUGGAGGACUGAACUUGUAUUUGUGUCUUCAGUAAAUCUGUUCCUGGGAAGAGUGACUUGGAAGCGACCGGGUGCCUGGUACUUGGCUAAGAGCUGGACCCUACAACAGAUCACACUGAUUUCCUCGUUUUGCAGAAGGUGAAAAGAUGGCACAGAGAGGUUAUGUAACAAGCCCCUAGGUUGUACAGCUGGAAGAGCUGCACCUGGGGUUUAGAUCUGGCCCUGGAUUGGUCUUGUCAACUGCAGUACAAUAUUGCCUCUCAGGCAGAAGUGAGGCAGGAAUGGAAACCUGUUUUGGGGUAGAAAUAGCUCUGUUCUGUGCUGGAAUCAACAUUUGCAGGCCACACUGGACCCUGGAGAGCCUCACGCGCAUGCAGAAAAUUCAGGAAUGGCCCCCUCCACUCUCUGAAAGGCACCUGCUGGAUGUAGGAAAUAGUCCCCCAUGACCCCACAAGGCAGCGUGUUUGACUCCGAGGCCUGCGUGCUUCAGAUGGCGCUCGAGGACUCAUUCUGUCUCCCAGGAAGGCAUGGCUUUGACGUGUUUCAAAAAUACCAACUGAGAGCUCCAGGAUCAGCGAGUCCUGAUUCGAUGCCUGUGCCAGUCAGCAUCCAGAUGGCCGUGUGGCUGAGUGUGGUCCUUGAUACCAGAAGUCUUCUACCACCAAGAUUUGAUCGUGGCGACCUGGUGGAGGAGAGGGUGGGAAAGCCAGGGGGAGCUGGGGCAGGGUCCCUGUGGCCCCGGAGUGGGAGGCGGCAGGAAGUCUGCUUCCUGCUCUAUAAGGGCUGGGCGUGCAGUCUGGGGCAGACUCAGACUUCCUCCAUCUCUUCCUCUCGAACUCUUCCUGGCGGCAGGGACCUGCACGUCCUUUUUCCUUCUCAGGUAAACAUACAAGGUCUCCCAGUUUAAAGCAAUUCACAGUCGCAUUGGGAGAAAAAAAGAAUGUCUCAGUUUGAUUCUGAAUGAAGUUUAAUAGCCUUGAUCAAUAAUUUGUUAUAGAUUUUUUAAUAGACUUUAUUUUUUAGGAUGAGAUGGUUGGAUGGCAUCACCGACUCCAUGGACAUGAGUUUGAGCAAGCUCCGGGAGCUGGUGAUGGACAGGGAAGCCUGGCAUGCUGCAGUCCACGGGGUCGCAGAGCCAGACAAACUUAGUGACUGAGCAACAACCGCGAUAAUUUCUUAGAACUGUUUUGGAUUCACAGCAAAAUCGAGCAGAAGGAGCAGAGGUUUCCAUCUGCCCCCUCCCCUUACUUUCUUUCCCACCAUCAGCAUCCCCAUCAGGUGGUCCAUGUGUUACAACUGAUGAACCUACCUGGAUGCAUCGUCGUCAUGCAGCAUGGAUGCACCAUUGACAUCAGGGAUCACUCUUGGUGUUGUACGUUCUAUGGGAUUGGACAAACGUUUAGUGACACGUAUUCAUCAUUAUAGUGCCACACGGCGUGUUUUUUCCACCCUAAAAAUCCUCUAUGCUCCAUCUAGUCAUCCCUCAAUAAUUUGCUCUAGAUUUCUAGCCUAAACUUUAUAUCUCAGUUUGACAUUUUUCUUGUUAAAACCCUAAGGGGAUUCAGCGCAGCGAAUUUGCUGCGUUAAUUAUUAUCGGCACAUGGAUCGAAGCUCUGCAUUCACAUUUCCUAACAUUUUAUUUGAAUACGACCAUUCUUGGAAGAAGUCAGCAGUGCCCUGGCAGCAAACAUGUUCUGGUGACACAUCCCCCGUGAUGCCACGCCGUCUCUGUCGGUCGGUUGGUGGAAGUUAAGAGGUGAUUUCCAGGCACAGUGAGUGAUGUAAUUUGAUACUGUAUUAAAUUCUAUGUUUGAGAAAAAACAGAGGUGUCAUGAAGCCACGGAGUGGCAUCUGGAGGUGCCAAAGAAACCAGCAUGUAAACAUACACCUGCAGGUCCCACAGGCCUGCAGAGAAGGUGGGGUGUCUCACCUCCACUCCUUCUGGGAACUGCUGCCCCCCACCCCUUGUCCCAUCCUGCAACCUCCCCUCCCUCAGCCCAAGUGCUGCUGCUGCUGCUGCUAAGUUGCUUCAGUUGUGUCCGACUCUGUGCGACCCCAUAGACAGCAGCCCACCAGGCUCCCCGGUCCCCGGGAUUCUCCAGGCAAGAACACUAGAACGGGUUGCCAUUUUCUUCUCCAAUGCAUGAAACCCCGGGUCUUUAGAUUAGAAGAGAUGGUAUGUAAAUGAUCAGCACUUCCAUUGUCUGGGAGACUUGUUUCUGACUGGCUUUCGACUGUGUUCUCGUCUUCACCUCGCUCAGUCGCACUUUUCAGAUAAAGCUUCAUAUCUCCCUGUUAUCCUUGAGCACUGCCCGCUCUUUUUUCUCCAUGUCUUCAAAUGAAUGAAAAGUUCUGCUUUAUUUCCAGGGCUUAAAAAUUAUAAAAACUCCCCGAAAACACGAAUUAUUUGUAGUGGUGACAGGCAGUUAGCA
rnacentral:lncRNA from 1 species